CCUACGGGUGGCUGCAGUGGGGAAUAUUGGACAAUGGGGGGAACCCUGAUCCAGCCAUGCCGCGUGUGUGAAGAAGGCCCUCGGGUUGUAAAGCACUUUCAAUGAGGAAGAACGCCUGGUGGUUAAUACCCAUCAGGAAAGACAUCACUCACAGAAGAAGCACCGGCUAACUCCGUGCCAGCAGCCGCGGUAAUACGGAGGGUGCGAGCGUUAAUCGGAAUUACUGGGCGUAAAGCGCGCGUAGGUGGCUUGAUAAGCCGGUUGUGAAAGCCCCUGGCUCAACCUGGGAACGGCAUCCGGAACUGUCAAGCUAGAGUGCAGGAGAGGAAGGUAGAAUUCCCGGUGUAGCGGUGAAAUGCGUAGAGAUCGGGAGGAAUACCAGUGGCGAAGGCGGCCUUCUGGACUGACACUGACACUGAGGUGCGAAAGCGUGGGUAGCAAACAGGAUUAGAUACCCUUGUGUC
rnacentral:rRNA from 1 species